UACGAAGGGGGCUAGCGUUGCUCGGAAUUACUGGGCGUAAAGCGUACGCAGGCGGCUUUGCAAGACAGGUGUGAAAUCCCCGGGCCUAACCUGGGAACUGCAUUUGUGACUGCAUAGCUAGAGUUUGUCAGAGGGGGGUGGAAUUCCACGUGUAGCAGUGAAAUGCGUAGAUAUGUGGAGGAACACCGAUGGCGAAGGCAGCCCCCUGGGAUGUGACUGACGCUCAUGUACGAAAGCGUGGGGAGCAAACAGG
rnacentral:rRNA from 1 species